UGCGAAUCGAACGAUGAAGCCCUUCGGGGUGGAUUAGUGGCGAACGGGUGAGUAACACGUGGGCAAUCUGCCCUUCACUCUGGGACAAGCCCUGGAAACGGGGUCUAAUACCGGAUAAUACUCCUGCCUGCAUGGGCGGGGGUUAAAAGCUCCGGCGGUGAAGGAUGAGCCCGCGGCCUAUCAGCUUGUUGGUGGGGUAAUGGCCCACCAAGGCGACGACGGGUAGCCGGCCUGAGAGGGCGACCGGCCACACUGGGACUGAGACACGGCCCAGACUCCUACGGGAGGCAGCAGUGGGGAAUAUUGCACAAUGGGCGAAAGCCUGAUGCAGCGACGCCGCGUGAGGGAUGACGGCCUUCGGGUUGUAAACCUCUUUCAGCAGGGAAGAAGCGAAAGUGACGGUACCUGCAGAAGAAGCGCCGGCUAACUACGUGCCAGCAGCCGCGGUAAUACGUAGGGCGCAAGCGUUGUCCGGAAUUAUUGGGCGUAAAGAGCUCGUAGGCGGCUUGUCACGUCGGAUGUGAAAGCCCGAGGCUUAACCUCGGGUCUGCAUUCGAUACGGGCUAGCUAGAGUGUGGUAGGGGAGAUCGGAAUUCCUGGUGUAGCGGUGAAAUGCGCAGAUAUCAGGAGGAACACCGGUGGCGAAGGCGGAUCUCUGGGCCAUUACUGACGCUGAGGAGCGAAAGCGUGGGGAGCGAACAGGAUUAGAUACCCUGGUAGUCCACGCCGUAAACGUUGGGAACUAGGUGUUGGCGACAUUCCACGUCGUCGGUGCCGCAGCUAACGCAUUAAGUUCCCCGCCUGGGGAGUACGGCCGCAAGGCUAAAACUCAAAGGAAUUGACNGGGGCCCGCACMAGCAGCGGAGCAUGUGGCUUAWUUYCGACGCAACGCGAAGAACCUUACCAAGGCUUGAC
rnacentral:rRNA from 1 species